GACGAACGCCUGGCCGGCGUCGCCGUAAGUACAUGCAAGUAGAACGCUGAGGACUGGUGGCUUGGCAACGUGGUCUAAGGAGUUGCGAACGGGUGAGUAACGCGUAGGUAACCUACCUCAUAGCGGGGGAUAACUAUUGGAAACGAUAGCUAAUACCGCAUGACAAUAGGGUACACAUGUACCCUAUUUAAAAGGGGCAAAUGCUUCACUAUGAGAUGGACCUGCGUUGUAUUAGCUAGUUGGUAAGGUAACGGCUUACCAAGGCGACGAUACAUAGCCGACCUGAGAGGGUGAUCGGCCACACUGGGACUGAGACACGGCCCAG
rnacentral:rRNA from 1 species